rnacentral:rRNA from 1 species
CCCGCUGAACUUAAGCAUAUCAAUAAGCGGAGGAAAAGAAACUAACAAGGAUUCCCCUAGUAACUGCGAGUGAAGCGGGAAAAGCUCAAAUUUGAAAUCUGGCCUUUGGUCCGAGUUGUAAUUUGUAGAGGAUGGUUUUGGUGCGGUACCUUCCGAGUUCCCUGGAACGGGACGCCUUAGAGGGUGAGAGCCCCGUACGGUUGGAUGCCUAGCCUCUGUAAAUCUCCUUCGACGAGUCGAGUAGUUUGGGAAUGCUGCUCUAAAUGGGAGGUAAAUUUCUUCUAAAGCUAAAUACUAGCCAGAGACCGAUAGCGCACAAGUACCGUGAGGGAAAGAUGAAAAGGACUUUGAAAAGAGAGUUAAACAGUACGUGAAAUUGUUGAAAGGGAAACGCUUGAAGUCAGUCGCGUCCUUGAGAAAUCAACUUGACUUUUUUGGUUGAGUGCACUUUCUGUUUGGACGGGUCAGCAUCAAUUUUGACCGCUGGAAAAGGGCUUGGGGAAAGUGACAUCCUUUGUUGAUGUGUUAUAGACCCGGGUACAUAUACAGUGGUUGGGAUUGAGGAACGCAGCGCGUUAACUGGGGAAUAUCUCCCACAUCAGCGCUUAGGAUGCUGGCUUAAUGGCUUUAAUCGACCCGUCUUGAAACACGG